rnacentral:rRNA from 1 species
UACGGAGGGUGCAAGCGUUAUCCGGAUUCACUGGGUUUAAAGGGUGCGUAGGAGGGCAGGUAAGUCAGUGGUGAAAUCUCCAAGCUUAACUUGGAAACUGCCGUUGAUACUAUCUGUCUUGAAUAUUGUGGAGGUGAGCGGAAUAUGUCAUGUAGCGGUGAAAUGCUUAGAUAUGACAUAGAACACCGAUUGCGAAGGCAGCUCACUACACAAUCAUUGACUCUGAGGCACGAAAGCGUGGGGAUCAAACAGG